rnacentral:rRNA from 1 species
GACAGAGGUGCCGAGCGUUAGGCGGAAUCACUGGGCUUAAAGCGUGUGUAGGCGGACUUGUAAGUACCUUGUGAAAUCCCACAGCUCAACUGCGGAACUGCUUGGUAUACUGCUUGUCUUGAGCCACUUAGGGGCAGUCGGAACAGACGGUGGAGCGGUGAAAUGCGUAGAUAUCGUCAAGAACACCGAUAGCGAAGGCAGCUUACUGGGCUGUAACUGACGCUGAGGCACGAAAGUGUGGGGAUCAAACAGG